ACUAGUCCAAUGCUCUUCCAACUGAGCUACGCGGUCAGGACGGUUCGAGUAAGUGAUAUUUCGGAACAGUAUCUAGUUCCUUCAAUACCAAUAUGUUCUAGUAAUAUGAAUUUUUUUUUUCUCUGUGUUGGUGUUGUGUACUCAGAUGAAUAAUAUGUUUGCCAUGUUACUCUGAGUGCAUAUCCACACCGGGCGAGCUUGAAAAAUAUGCCCGGCCACGGUGGGAUUCGAACCUGCGACCUUUGGAAUACUAGCCCAAUGCUCUUCCAACUGAGCUACGCGGUCAGCAUGGUUCGAGUAAGUGAUAUUUCGGAACAGUAUCUAGUUCCUUCAAUACCAAUGUGUUCUUGUAAUAUGAUUUUUUUCUGUGCUGGUGUUGUGUACUCAGGUGAAUAAUAUGUUUGUGAUGUUACUCUGAGUGCAUAUCCACACCGGGCGAGCUUGAAAAAUAUGCCCGGCCACGGUGGGAUUCGAACCUAUGACCUUUGGAAUACUAGCCCAAUGCUCUUCCAACUGAGCUACGCGGUCAGGACGGUUCGAGUAAGUGAUAUUUCGGAACAGUAUCUAGUUCCUUCAAUACCAAUAUGUUCUAGUAAUAUGAAUUUUUUUUUUCUCUGUGUUGGUGUUGUGUACUCAGAUGAAUAAUAUGUUUGCCAUGUUACUCUGAGUGCAUAUCCACACCGGGCGAGCUUGAAAAAUAUGCCCGGCCACGGUGGGAUUCGAACCUACGACCUUUGGAAUACUAACCCAAUGCUCUUCCAACUGAGCUACGCGGUCAGGACGGUUCGAGUAAGUGAUAUUUCGGAACAGUAUCUGGUUCCUUCAAUACCAAUGUGUUCUUGUAAUAUGAAUUUUUUCUGUGCUGGUGUUGUGUACUCAGGUGAAUAAUAUGUUUGUGAUGUUACUCUGAGUGCAUAUCCACACCGGGCGAGCUUGAAAAAUAUGCCCGGCCACGGUGGGAUUCGAACCUACGACCUUUGGAAUACCAGCCCAAUGCUCUUCCAACUGAACUACGCGGUCAGGACGGUUCGAGUAAGUGAUAUUUCGGAACAGUAUCUAGUUCCUUCAAUACCAAUGUGUUCUUGCAAUAUGAAUUUUUUUUUUUUUUUUUAUUAUUUUUUUUCUGUGUUGGUGUUGUGUACUCAGGUGAAUAAUAUGUUUGCGA